GGGGGGGUAAGAUGUACGCAGUCCAUACCUCUACCUCUGAUGAGGUAGAAAGGCUGUUUCCGAAAGACCCCCGGCUCAAGUCACGAGACAUCAUACAAACACAUAGUACAGCACAGAAGCAGAUGACGUAACAUAGAUACGGCACCCAUAAAGAAUAUAGAACAGAGUAAAGCAGAUGUAAUUAUGCAAAAGAUGACUCAUCAGUUCUCUAACACAUUCGAUCCCGAUGAAAAAUUAUAUUAUGUAUAUAGAAUUAAAAUUAUAUUUUAUAUAUAUAGUUAAUGUUGAACCUUUUUACACUAGCGACCCGAACUGGCCCUAAUCCUCUACAAUUGAAUACUAAAAAAAAAAAUACAUUCAGUUGUAAGUUGAUAUUUUGAAACCAGAUAUGUAAUAAUAAUUAAAUGUUAAAAUUCAACAAAUGUUCGAGAUGCCUGUUGGAAACCACAACUGUGUUGAUAACCUAUUCAAAAAUCUUCUUUCUAAAAAAUUAUGAGUCAUGUAGUCGAUAAAGUCAAUUUCAGAGAGAUCUAAAACAAAUUGAACAUGAUAAGAUUCCUAAAUAGAAAAAGGAGACAAUAUUAGAAUAAUACAUUAGCAAUCAAGUAUUUAUAGUUAUAUAAAGCAUGAAUGUUGAUAGACCUCUGUCUGAAUUUUUUUAUACUUGAAUCUUAAUAUAUUUAAAUUCUUAUCGUCAAAGUAAAUGAGCAAAACACAUUUUAAAACAGGGAGAAAGAAGGGAAAUAUGAUAAAGAUUACAUUUUUUAAGAUUUGAUAGUGAGUUUGUACUUGAAAGGGUGUUAAUCAUCAAGAUGAGCAGAGAAUUAAUAUGGAAGUCCAUAACAAAGUCAAUUGAUUUGGAUACACAACUCUUCUGUUUACUGUAUUGCCCGAUUUGUUAUUGUCUGACCCCAAAUUUGCAAUUGAUAUAACGAUUGAAAUCAUAGAAAAUAUAUUAAAAUGGAGUAUAAGAGAAAAUAAAAAAUGCACAAAUAAAAAAGUUGUUGAUAACCAAUUCAUUUAUCGUCCAUAGUAUUCUCUUAACUGAAUUCUAUUUAUAUGCAAUGAAUGAAUUCUUUUAAUGAUAAACAAAACUUCAUCGUAUUGUUGAUUUGUACAUGUUGAUAAAGAUUUGUAUUGAAGAGAAAUUUUACGCGAAAAUUGUAAAAUUUUGCAACUAUACGUACUUUGAAUUCAAAAUUUAUAUUGUAAAAGUUUUUUCGGUCAUUUUGAAUACAAUUUAAGCAUUAAAGGUAAUAAAACUCACAUAAGCAUGAUAACUGCAAAAAAUAGAAAUGCAAGUCAAGUAUCACUAUUAGAAAGCGUCGGCAGAAUAUUUUUCCGCAUAUACAACACAACAAACCGCUUGUGAUUUAUAGAUAUGAAAUUUGUAAACAUGCUUAACAAAUUGAUUUAUUGGAAGGAAGCAACAUCAAGAACCAAAGAUGAAAUAUGAAUAAAUUUCAAACAUCAAAAUCAAAAUGUAAAGACGAAACCACUAACCUUGUUGGGUGCAAUGAAUUAAGGCGUGGAUAUAAUUUACUCAAACAAAAAAAACAAGAGAAGCUCUGCCCAAUAAAGAGCAAAAAAUGCAAAGUUGAAAGUGUUUUUAAGCAUAAGAAGAGGAUAGAACAACAAUUUCAAGAUGUACAUGGAGAUGACUUAAAUGGUGAAGGGGCGGCUGAAACCCCACCCCCCUCCCAAAUGGAUCGAAAAUACAAAUAUUUAUAGAGAAAUAUUAGAGCUUCAAAUUUUAGGUGGGAUCUUGAGUUUUUUUUAUUUUGAAUAUCAGUCAACCAUGAUGUUUUUGGAAUUGGCAACCGUGAAUUUGGAUGAACUUUGUCCUUCACGUGAUUGAUAUGGCUAUUUCGCAAAAAGCGAGAAGCAAACUUUGCCAUGGUGAAAGGAGGCUGUAGUUUUUCUCCAAAAGGAAAGGAAGAAGACGCGUGUGGUUUAGAGAGAGAGACGUUUUUUAUUUUGAGAAGAGAGAAACUUAGGCCUAGUUUUUAGGGUUUUGGGGGUAUUGUUGGUAUUUUAGGUAGAAUAAGUGAGGGUAUAAGAGGUAGUUUAGGGUGAUUGGAAAUUAAUUGGGUUUGACCAACUAAUAAGAGCAAGACAAAUGGCGAGACAUGUGUUGAUUGUGGAAGAUGUGUUUCAAGCAUAUGUUGGGCAUGUUUUGUGACUAUUUGGUUCCUUGUUUGGCGCAAACAUAGUGUCUACGUGGCAAUGAGGUGAAACGGGAAAGAGAAAAUAUGAGCUUUAUGAGUUAUAUCUUGAAAUUGGGCCAAAUUUCAAGCAUAUUAUAAAAUGAACUGAUUUAAACUACCUUCUUUCUUAUGUUCUUUAAGCUUUCUAAAUUAAUUUAAAUAAUACUUUUAACAAGAACAUAUUAUAAAUAUCUGAAUAAAUUACAAAACUCAUUUGAUGAUAAAAUAUAAAUAACUUAAACAAAGUUGCACGAUAAAACGAUAAUGUUUAUAAAGAAAAAAAAUCGUCAAAUACUCAUUCGAUAAAAAUAAAUAUUUUUUUUGCAAAAGUUUAGAAAAUACGACGAUAAUUUAAAAUAUAACCAAAAUAGUGGUAGAUGAUGAUGAUAAUGAUAAUAAUAAUAAUAACAACAACAACAACAACCACAACAACAACAACAAUAUCGAUGAUUCUUAGUUUUAAAAAUACAAAUAGUUUCAGGACUUUCAUAAACUCCUAAUUAUAGGAAUAUCAUACAUAUAUUUUAUUUUUUUAAGCUAUCAAAACUAUUUAAAAGUGUAAAGAGAUGACUUGAAAGAAAGGUGGGGGAGAAGGACUGGUCAAACCCAAGGAUGAGAUGGAGCAGGUUGAAGGUCCUAAGGAUAAUGUUGUUAAGGUGGGAACUUUUAUAUCUGGUGAUAGUGUCGAACCUGGUCAUUCUCAGCCCUUGAACCUGGCAGGUAGAGGCCCUAGAGUUGUUGUUUUCCCGAAUCGUCCUCUCCUGCCACACCUUCAUCAGUUGCUUGUAGUUCUUCAACAGGUAUUAUUCUUAAGUAAUUCCUUAUUUUAAUAUUGUGAAAUAGGUGCAUAGUGUGUGGACUGAGCAGAACUCUUAUUUUUUAUAGAGUGGUAAAUUGCCAAAGAAUAAAAAGAAUGCAAAGUGAACAGAUAAUGGGAUGAUAAAAGAAUGAUGGAAAAUACGCCUUAACAGGGAAAGCAAGAACGAACGCUGGAAAAGAUAGGAUCUAAGUAGUUGUUUGUUUUAAGGAUAGAUCUGUAUGUCUUAAUUCUAGCAACUGCGACAAUAUUUUGGACCUAAUUUGAACACAAAGUUUGCUUCAGUUAUAUUUAUUUUACUUAGUAACUGAAAUGGUAAUUAUUUUACUUGACAUGCUCCUAUUCAACCAAUUUCAUUAUCUAUUGAGUGACACUCUUAAGUUCUUUCUGUUUGUUUUGGCUUCUUUGCAAUCAAAUACAUAAAGUGCUAACUAACUUGUAUACUCUUUUUUGGUAUGGGGGCAUAUUUUUUGUAUCUUCAUUUUUCACUGUUGCAUAUUCUCGUCUUGUAAGUUUUUAUGCUUUUUUGUGGAGCUUUUGUAGUACUUCAAUGAGCUCUGAUCCCAUCUUUGGUUUGUCAAAAUCUUAAGACAUGCAUUUUUUUAGAAUAGUAACUUAGUCUUAAGACAUGCAUUUGACUAUCUAUGUUUCUAAUUUGUAGUGUCGAUUUGUAGCAGAAUUUUAGAAAUCUUCUUCCGUUGACGGCAUUGAUUGAAGAAAAUUCAUAUGUUUGGAUAAGGGUGGGGAAGUAUCUUUGCAUGAUGGUAGUGCUUAUUUUUUGUUCUUUUUCUUUUGGCCCCUCUCGGUGCCUCGAUGAUGAUGUACCUCUUCUUAAGGUUGUUGUUGGGAGCCCUUUUUUUUUUCAGCAAGCUUGGUUUCACUUGAGUUGUGGUUAUCCAUUAUAAUGAACUAACACGUGAUCAUUACUCUUAUUGUAACAAUAUAUGAUGCUAUUUGACAUAGUCAUACUAUAUUGUACUAUCACUUCGGUAACUCCGAGAUUUUGUGGCAAAGCUUAUCGAGACAACGCUCUAAUAUCCUUGCUAUUAUUGUCUUAUUGCAGUUCCUUUUAUUUUAUACAUCCUCAUCCCCUUCAAAGUUAUUUCGGCUAACAAUUUGAUUUUAGCUACUUAUUCACUCUUUAAUUGCAUAGAUGGUAGACCGUUCCUUCUUUGAUUUUACUAUGUGAGUUAUGUGAUUUUACUAUGCAGUAAGUUAUGUGAUUUUCUUUAAUUGUCUGAUCACUUAAAGUUAUUUAUGUCUCUCUUGUUUGUUUUUUUCACUUAAUUUAUCUCUUUGCUAAAUAUUUUGGUGGAAAACAUUUACCACAGUACAAACACUGAAUACGUGUUCAACACCUGGUACAACGAAAAGGGGAAUAUUACUUGUGAGAUAUGCCAUCAGGUACAUGUCAUUCUUCUAGCUGGGGUGGGGGAAGGAGGUCAUGGUCUAAGGCAUGGUACGAGCCUAGGCAGGGGAGAGGGGCUCAUGGGGUUGGCCAUGGUGAUACACUACAAACAUGGAAAGUACCGAAAUCAGCCAACAACAAACUAGUUUUAACAAUACAACCCGAGGACCAGCAGAAACAAGCCCCAAAACGUGAAGAACACGAGAUUAACUAGUUGACAAAGAUGUAACAACAAGAAAACAGUGGCUACACGAGAUGAACAACAAGAUAAAAAUAACAAUAACCAAUGGUUUCAACAACACAAGAAACAACAAUAAAAGAUUACACUAAACAAAGGGAUAGAAAGAUAGACUACGUAAAGGCAUAAUCUUAAGAACCCAAGAGCAUAUUCCACUCUUAGACCCUUAACACUACACACUACAAUUCACCUAUCUCUUACGUGGCACAAGAUGGACCACGAUCUCCCAAGCAUCCAACGUUUCCAAGCUUGAAUCCAACACGAGUGAUUCCACACUCAAAUUGAAAUCCCUAGCUACAAUGUUCGGCCAUAGGGGCCUUUCUCACAAGAGAGAAAUGUCUAAGUGUCUACAACUUUCAAUAUUCAUCAAAACUAACUAUUAAAUGACCUAACAUAUUUUAUUAUAGUAGGUUACAAAAAUAGUAUGAAAUGUUCAAAAGACCCCUUAGUCAAAUGUUUCACUUUAGGCGCCCUUGGAGUGUAGUUUGUGGACUGUUUUGGAGCCUAUUUAGGCCCUCAUUUGCACUUCACUUGCGCACUCCAAGUCUCAGGUUCAAUACAUCUCACAGAUGUCCAUCUCCGUGGUUAUUCUUGUAUCAUCCUCCCUUUCUUAAAAAAGGGAUUCGACCUCAAAUCCGCUCCUUGCAAAAUCAAAGAAGAACAAACAAGCAAAAUAUCCUCAUGACAUGAGGGUUAAGAUUAGCAAAAUACACACAUCACAUGCCGUGCUGAGGUGGGACAAACUUGGAGUAUACCCACGGGUCCUUUGUGUUGAACAUGAAAACCUCAGUAUAAAUGGCACAAAGGAAGAGAUCAUCAUCAAUAAAAAGAGAUAAGGAAGAACCUUGUCUUCCUUCAUUAGCACCCACAAUCAAAUAUUGCUUGUCGUCUUGACCAAGCAUAAUCAAACAUUACUUGUAGUCUUGACGAAGCAUCAAGUGAGAAGUGUAGAAAUUCUCAUAUUCUGAGAGGGUCCCGAGGUCAAAUGGGAGAAGUAGACAAGGGUUUAAACCGAGACUAACCCUUCCUUCUCCUAGAAUGUCACUCCCACAAUCACGCAUGACAUUUUUCUUUAAGAGAAGACGAACAUUCAAGAAUAGAGAGACACGGCCUAAAAGUCCUACCUCAAAGAGACUUAUGCCAUCAUUUUCACUAUUUCCAUACACAUGAUCUCUAUGAACAAAACAACUAGCAAGGCUUUUACCACACAAGACGUUCAAAGACUCACGUGCACCAUCAAGAUCAACUCUAUAAACACCAUCACUAACUUGAGAUUUUUCAAGCACACCACACAUAUGCUCAAGUAGUGGAAUACAUUCAUGAGUAAGUUGAUCUUCAUUCACAUCCUCACUAGUUGUUGGCAACUCACAUACCAAUGUAGACUUACCUUGGUUCGCACAAGGGUCAACUGGUGUGUGAAUACCCUCAUUAAUUGGUAAUGGAGACUUACUCGAGUUAUAAGGGCUAGGACUAGAUGGACACAAAUUAUUCUUAUGAAAAGAAUCAAUUUCGUUAUCUAAAGGAUUAACUAGUGCUUGCAUACUUACAACAAGAGUUUGGUCCUCCCGCGACCUAACACCUCCAAGAGUAUUACAAAAGGACAACUCAAACACUUCUACUUAAGGUAAAUCCGCAACUACACCCUUUUGGCUAUUACUAGCCACACCACAGAAUCGACAUUUAUGGUAGUGUAGGAAGUAGUGCUUUUACCUUGGUGUGGGUCGGGGCAGCCCACUUCUUUCUUUGGGAAGCUCUCAUCUCAAGGUGUUUGGUCCUUAGGUCUUGAAUUUGUUGGGAUGAGUGUGGAUACCAAUUGGCGUAGCCUUUCAACGUGUCAUUUCAUGUCUUUAAUAUUGUCAUUGAUGUGAUCAAAUGUGGCAUCGAGAUUAUUGGCAGCCAUGGUACCUAAAAGAAAAACAACAACAACAACAAACCCAGUGUAUUCCCACUUAGUGGGGUCUGGGGGGGGUAAGAUGUACGCAGUCCAUACCUCUACCUCUGAUGAAGUAGAAAGGCUGUUUCCGAAAGACCCCCGGCUCAAGUCACGAGAUAUCACACAAACACAUAGUACAGCACAGAAGCAGAUGACAUAACAUAGAUACGACACCCAUAAGGAAUAUAAAACAGAGUAAAGCAGGAAUGCAGGAAUAUAAAGUAGAGGACAGCACACAUUUUCGUAAUAAACAUGGAACACGGAACACGGAACAUUGAAUACGGAAUCCUAACAGGAAUACCCCCCACCAAUU
rnacentral:lncRNA from 1 species